rnacentral:rRNA from 1 species
AGAGUUUGAUCAUGGCUCAGAUUGAACGCUGGCGGCAGGCCUAACACAUGCAAGUCGAACGGUAACAGGAAACAGCUUGCUGUUUCGCUGACGAGUGGCGGACGGGUGAGUAAUGUCUGGGAAACUGCCUGAUGGAGGGGGAUAACUACUGGAAACGGUAGCUAAUACCGCAUAACGUCGCAAGACCAAAGAGGGGGACCUUCGGGCCUCUUGCCAUCGGAUGUGCCCAGAUGGGAUUAGCUUGUUGGUGGGGUAACGGCUCACCAAGGCGACGAUCCCUAGCUGGUCUGAGAGGAUGACCAGCCACACUGGAACUGAGACACGGUCCAGACUCCUACGGGAGGCAGCAGUGGGGAAUAUUGCACAAUGGGCGCAAGCCUGAUGCAGCCAUGCCGCGUGUAUGAAGAAGGCCUUCGGGUUGUAAAGUACUUUCAGCGGGGAGGAAGGGAGUAAAGUUAAUACCUUUGCUCAUUGACGUUACCCGCAGAAGAAGCACCGGCUAACUCCGUGCCAGCAGCCGCGGUAAUACGGAGGGUGCAAGCGUUAAUCGGAAUUACUGGGCGUAAAGCGCACGCAGGCGGUUUGUUAAGUCAGAUGUGAAAUCCCCGGGCUCAACCUGGGAACUGCAUCUGAUACUGGCAAGCUUGAGUCUCGUAGAGGGGGGUAGAAUUCCAGGUGUAGCGGUGAAAUGCGUAGAGAUCUGGAGGAAUACCGGUGGCGAAGGCGGCCCCCUGGACGAAGACUGACGCUCAGGUGCGAAAGCGUGGGGAGCAAACAGGAUUAGAUACCCUGGUAGUCCACGCCGUAAACGAUGUCGACUUGGAGGUUGUGCCCUUGAGGCGUGGCUUCCGGAGCUAACGCGUUAAGUCGACCGCCUGGGGAGUACGGCCACAAGGUUAAAACUCAAAUGAAUUGACGGGGGCCCGCACAAGCGGUGGAGCAUGUGGUUUAAUUCGAUGCAACGCGAAGAACCUUACCUGGUCUUGACAUCCACGGAAGUUUUCAGAGAUGAGAAUGUGCCUUCGGGAACCGUGAGACAGGUGCUGCAUGGCUGUCGUCAGCUCGUGUUGUGAAAUGUUGGGUUAAGUCCCGCAACGAGCGCAACCCUUAUCCUUUGUUGCCAGCGGUCCGGCCGGGAACUCAAAGGAGACUGCCAGUGAUAAACUGGAGGAAGGUGGGGAUGACGUCAAGUCAUCAUGGCCCUUACGACCAGGGCUACACACGUGCUACAAUGGCGCAUACAAAGAGAAGCGACCUCGCGAGAGCAAGCGGACCUCAUAAAGUGCGUCGUAGUCCGGAUUGGAGUCUGCAACUCGACUCCAUGAAGUCGGAAUCGCUAGUAAUCGUGGAUCAGAAUGCCACGGUGAAUACGUUCCCGGGCCUUGUACACACCGCCCGUCACACCAUGGGAGUGGGUUGCAAAAGAAGUAGGUAGCUUAACCUUCGGGAGGGCGCUUACCACUUUGUGAUUCAUGACUGGGGUGAAGUCGUAACAAGGUAACCGUAGGGGAACCUGCGGUUGGAUCACCU